AGGCAGGCACUAUUCAGACACCCAGGCAGGGGGUCAGCAAUGGGGACAUCUGCCAGCUGCAGAGACAGGACACCAGUCCAUAGGAAGAGCAAGAGAGAGACAAUGUUCCUUUAGUGUGAAAGUUACCAAAAAGGAGGUGGACACAGGAGGAGAAGAUGUGGGUGCAAGUCUCUGUUACAUAAACAUCUGGAGGGCUGAGUAUCAUUUUAGCCAUAGUAAAUAGCUAAUGGAAGAAUACAUCUUACAUUUCCCCACAAAGAGGCAAAAUUGUACGCAGGCUGCACCAGCAAAGGAACUGGAAAAUCUUUGUGUGGAGUGGAUUUGAAGGACAGUCACUCUUCGGAUUGGUGCAAGGGAUUAGAGCCUCAUGGUCAUCUGGAGUUUUCUCUGCGUGCAGUUAACUGAACCUUUGGUGCCCAGAACACACUUAAAAACUCAUGCUAUUUCGAACAUCACUGGAGUUGGAAGCAAGACCAGGCAAGGGGACCUACACAGAGGAUGAAGAAUAGGACCCAUCUUCAAGGGAGGUUCUUAAUGUAGGAGCAAUUUGAAGUGGAUUCAGUUUUAUAGAUAAUAAGCAUGAGAGUAAAGAUCACAGCAGACAUUUGGUUACUAAAGAGUCUUCAGUGGAACUUGAAAGUUUUAAUCCAUCAGAUGUUAAGAAUGAGAUUGGUAUGUAUUUUUAAAAGAGUGGGGUGGAGAUCCAAAAGGACAAAAGAGGUCUAAUCCAAGUCAUUAGGUAUUGGAAUCCUCUCCUAUAUAAAAGCCUUUUGUUUAUAAGAGAGCUGAGUGACUUGAAGACCUGUAGCUAAAUCAUCCUUUGGAUUCCACUGAAUUGAUGGGGUGAUAGUUGUGUCAAUCAGUUGAUGUCUGAAGAACACCAGCUACAUUCCAGGCUGUGGACACCAGGGCAGCUAUGACAGGUAAUGUCUAUUCAUGCUCCCAUGCAGCUUUCUGGCAUAUCAUUGACUCCUGCUGGAGUGUGUAUCCUGGGAGAUACAGGUCAGUAACCAUGUGGAAUUGCAUCAAGUUUGCAUGUGAGUGCAGGAUGAUGGUUUCCAAUAAGCGUCGUACUGCCUGUACUGAUGGUCAUUGAAAUGCUUCCAGUCUGAUUGGUAUAAAAAUGACUAGACUUGGCCAUACAUAAAGAACCUGGGAACAGGGCUCCUGUGGAAGUGGGUGGCCCUUGGCAACCCUCAGUAGACCAAGGUGGGGAUGGCAGCAGGGCAGCAAGGCCUGGGCAAUGCCUAUCCAUUGCCCUGGGGAAGACCUGCAUGGUGGGAACUGCAGGGCAAGCAGGGUGGUAAUCUUGUUGUCAGGAGGUGAAGCUCCAGGGUGUGUGCCAUGUCAGAUAUGCAGGCUAAGGUACGAUGCUCCUUCCAGCUGCAAAAAAUGACCCAGAACUGGGGACCUAAUGACUACCAAUUUAAUAAGAAAGAGCUUGAUGAGUUUUCCUGUGUUAUAUCAUGCAGACAAAGGUUGUCUAUGUAUGGACCUUGUCUGUCAUUCUCGCUGUAGAAUUCCUAGCACCUACCACAAUACCUGAGCUGGAGCAGGUGCUCAGUAGUAUUCAGCUAGUGACAGUAAGUUAAACCAAAUGUCACACUAACAAGUCUAAACUCAGAAAAAAAAAAUAUAUAUAUAUAUAUAUAUAUUAGAAUGACUUGAUUAGCUGUAAUUAUAUUACUUGAUAAGAAAUUUUAUUAUAAGAUAUAUGAGUAUAACAAAUUAUGGGAUAUAGAAGAUAAAUAUAUACAUAAAUCUAGCUUAUUUAUAAAUUUUAAAGAUUUAUAUGUUGAUUUGUGUAUUAAUUUAUAUUACUUAGCAAUUCUCAAAAUUGUUAAAUUUUCUGAAUGUUAUCAUCUGUCUAUAUAUGGAUUUUUCAGGAAACACAUAACCACGGCUUCUAGCAAAAUUUCAAGUGGUUCUACUAUUGGCAAAGCCCAGCACAAGGUACAGAUGGAAGCUGCCAUAACAUAUGUCUAGAUAUCUGAAACUUAUGCAUCAAACUUUUAAUAAGGGUUUAUCCUCCCACCUUGAAAAAUAUUCCUUUGUAAAAUGACCUAGAAGACCAGGUUUGUAAUCAGGACUCUUGGACUCCUCUGAGUUCCUAUCAGCAUGCAGAAAAGUUAGCCCCUAGUCCUCAGCAGAUGACCAUCUUUCCCACUUCUUGGAGGACUUGAACAGAGCCCAUAGUUAUCAUGAACCCACAUUUCUGGAUUUUCUGAGAUGGCUUAAAUUUUAAUUAUUUUGUCAUAUGAUCCUUUUUAAAAAUUCAUUCCCAGGUUAUCUUAUCUGGACCCAUGGGAUUUUAUUUUUAACUUUUUGUCUUGAAAUAAUUAUAAAGUCACAGGUAAUUGCAAAAAUAGACCCAUGUACCCCUUAACCUAUUUCCUCCAAUGGUGAUAUCUUGUACAGCUUUAAGGCAAUAUCAGUUCAUGGAUCCUACCCAACUACAUGUUGAUGACUCCUCAUUUUAUUUCCAGCUCAAACAGACUCCUCUGCCCUGAGCUCUAGAUGCAUCUAUUCCUAUCUGUUCUGCAUUUCCAUCUGGAUGUCAGUUAUUUCACAUUUCAUAUAUCCACAUAGAACCUUGAUCCCUGGCUUUCCUAAUUCAAACAAAUAUUCAUUUUAGUAAAUGGUCCUGCCAGCUACCAAAUUGCCAAGAUCAGCAAUGAUCUUGUAGUACAUUUGCUUACUUGUUCAUUGUUGGUUUAUCUCCAUGGGCACUUGACAGAGACCUCAUCUGUCUUCUCCACUAUAGAAUUCCCAGCAUCUCCUAUAAUACCUGGGCUGGAGCACAUGCUCAGUAAUAUUUGUUAAAUGAAUUAUUAUUCAGGGGUGCCUGUGUGGUCUAGUUUGUUGAGCCGACUCUUGGUUUUAGCUCAGGUCAUGAUCUCAAGGUCUUGAGAUUGAGGCCUGUUUCAGGCUCCCAGCUCAGUGGGGAGACUCUGAGUUUUUUUCUCUCCCUGUGUUUCUCCAUGCUGCCCCCACCUUCAUUCAUGGGCUCUCUUCUCUUUCUGUCUCUUUCUCUCUAAAAUAAAUAAAUAAAUCUUUUUAAAAAAGAAAUAUUAUUCACUUAACAAAUAUUUGUUAAAUAAAUAGAUGAUUUUGGCAGAGAUAAUAUGGCAAUGUUAUGGUCUCAGAUGACACCAAGUCUCAGGAUUUGGUUUUCUGAGUCAUGGUUUACAUGCUUAUGGGAUAGGUGGCUGUAAAGGGAUAAUGUGUAUCUUACAAAGUGAUUGAGAAAAAAUAUAUUGGCCUGGUUAGGAAAACUUCAACCUGAGAAUUUAAUGAAAAGCAAAGAUAAAAUGAAAACCCAGUAACCUCCCUCCUCCACUUCCCUCCCUCCAUCCCUCCCUCCCCUCCCUCCCUUUCUCCCUCUUCUCUGUUGAUUGCCCAGAGUCCAUUUUCAAGUAGUCUUUUGAAGAGAGUACACUGGACUUGUUCUUAUUUUUGCAUGUUUGACUGACAGUAUCUUUCUUUGACUUCACAUACAAAAGAAAAUGAAACUGAACAUACCUUGUUUGUUCAGCAUAUCGUAGAUACCAUUCAUUGUCUUCUGGCAUUUAGUAUGGUAGUGAAGUGAGGUCAGCUGAUAUGCUUUCCUCUUUUGAUCCCUGUCUGGAUGUUUGAAAAAUAUAGCAAAAUGGUUAAUGUUCAUGGGUUCUGGAAAUAGGCAGUUUGGACUCCAGUUUCUAUUUAUGACCUCAGACAAAUUACUUCAUUGCUAUGAGCUUUACUUAUCUCAUCUGAAAAUGUGGAGUACAGCACCCAUUUCAUGCAGUCACCAUGAGAAUCAAAUGAAAUACAAAUGUUUUAGACUAGUGCCUGGCAUAUAGCAUAUGCUCAAGAAUACAAUGCUUUACUUGUCCUUGUAAUUGAAAACAUUUGCCAGGAGGAGGCCAGAUAUUUAUUACUAUUGUUAAUUUUUGCCUGACAUACAACCUGACUACUCAGGUUUUGGUCUUGUUUAUCUUUACCUUUGUUUCUCAGGAUAUAGAAUUCUCUGCUUCAAGCAGCGAUCCUGCAUCAGUUCUGUGUUGUUCAAGGGGUUGCUUCUAGGUCUCUCAGAAGCUGAAGUCCCAGUUGCUGUUGCCUUCUACAGGACAGCAGCCCAGCAAGCUGGAGGCCCCAGUAUUAUAUGUACUGUUUUGUGUUUUUGUUAUAUUUCUUGUUUGCAAAGAUGAAGAAUCACUGCUUGUCUCUUCAUAUCUCAUGCAUCACUGCCCUGUGUUUGGAAAAGCAGGGUUUUUUGAAGUUGGAACUCAGUGCUCAUCUUGACCAGAAAACUCACUUGCGCUAUCAACUUUAUUUUGCCUCCAUCACCUGUUCUUAGCCAGUUCCUUGGUUACUCUGGGCUCCUCCUCCAGGAAUUGUGCAGGCUUUAUUCUCCAUCUUGAAUGCUCUUACCCACCGCACUCCCAGCAUAGUGCUUCUCUCCAGCCCUUCCACAUUGGCUCAUGCCAAUGGCUCUUCUUCAGAGAGUGGCUAUCAGGUAACUGAAGCCACUUUGUUCCCAGAGAACCAGAGUGCCAAGGAGUUCACAGGCCACAGGCAGUAGCCAACAGAUGUGUAUGACAGCUCAGUCCCUUUUCAUGAGUGACACAAACUCUCGGCCAGACCUUACAUCCCAGAGUCCCCUGUAGGAUCAGUCCAAAAGCACCCUCUUCAAGACUUUGUCCUAGAUAGCCUGCUGUGGGGCUCCCCAUUGCCUUUUUGUCCUGCUUCUCAUAUCUUGCUGAUUUUUCCUGGGACCACCCUAAUAAAUCUUUUCACAGUCAGUAAUUAGAUAUUCAAGUAUUUGUUUGCUAGUUUCUGUCAUUUUUCCCCAAAACUUUAAGUCCCAGGACAGGAAUCCAUAUUUGAACAACGAAUGUGGGACGUGACAUUCAGUGACUGCAUAUUCAAUAAAUUAACAAAGAAAGCCACAAAGAGACUGAGCAAAGUCAUAAAUGCAUGAAUGUAAUUGGCCUAUACCCAAGUUUGGGAGUCCAGUCCUCUCUUCCCAAAGCCUCGAACGCACAGAAGCCUUGUUUGAAGAUAUAAAUACCCUUCUAUAACAAGGUGACAUCACACAUACUCAAGCUUUCCUCUCUUCAUUUAUUAUAAGGCUAGCUGAACACUUCAAUGCAUUUAAUUCACCAUUACUUACUUGUUCUUUAUUACCUCCAUAUGCAUCAUGUGAGUUUGUGCAUGUAUAUUUAUACAAACUCUUAUUAUUCAGGUUCAUAAAAUAUCCUUUAUAAGAGGAACUAUAUGUGACUGACCCAGAUGCACAAGAGGAUAUGUUUCAUUUCUCAAGAAGAACCUUCUGUGCACCCUGCCGCCUCCCUGCUCCAUGAAUUUACCCAUGGGACCUAAUGGUUCUAAAAAUUGAAGCAGCUGCAUGGGCCAUAAUUUACUGACCUACUGUGUGCAUGACAAAUGGGUCUUAACUAUAACCAGCUGGGGCUAUUUUUUGUCAAAACCAGAUUUUGAAUCCUGCACUUGAAAGCUUCUAAGUUAUUUUUCUGGUACUCAUGAUUGUGUGUGUCUGUGUCUUUAUACCUGUCUGUCUGUCUGGGUACGGAAAGAGGGAUAGAGACGUACCUGGAGAGGAACUCAGGUAAGUGGAUUCUUAUUAAUCACAGGCAAACAUAUUUUCUCAUUUAGCAAAGUCAGGCUGGCAUAUCCAACACUUGUCUGAAAAAGAAAAAGUUGCCAUUUAUAUUAAACUCCAAUUGCAAGGUCAAAAGCAUCCUGAACCUACAAAAGGUUAUAUUUACAAGAAAAAAAGCCAUUUAAAGCUGGGCUAGGAGGAAUGUGUUAUCUCUGUUGUGUAGCUACAAUUAGCAUAUACUUUAUACCAUUUAAAAAUAAAUAUUAAGUGGUUUCAAUUAAAUCGUUAUUAAUCUGAAAAGAUCAACAUUUGAGGAAAGUGACAGUGCUCUCUCCACAACCUUUCUGAAGUCUAUAAACAACAAGCUAUAAAGAGUGGUUGCUAACUUUGGUGGGGGGUUAUGGCUCCUUGGAAAUCUAAUGAAAGCUAUGAACACUCUCCCCAGAAAAAAAAAAAAAAAGACCCAUAAUUUUGCAAACAAUUCCCAGGGGUUUGCUGACCAUCUGAAAGCCAUGCAUGAGUCUCACAUUAAAAAUGCCUUCUCUAAAGGAAACAUAAGAUGUAACCAUAAUUUAAAGGAAGUCAUGAUCUUGUUAAAGAACCUAAGAAAUUGCUUAUUCAUACUCUCACUUUCCAGAUAUGGGGAGAGAUCUGAAGACGGUAUGAAAGUCACACAACAAAUUGGUGGCAGAGUUAGGAAUUUGGAUGCUAUUUUAAGUUGGCUUCCUUAGAAGCAGACCCUGGAACAAUGAUUGGCGGGAAAGUGAUUUAUUAAGGAAGUGCUCCCCGGGGAUACCAGCAAGGGCAUAGAAAAGGAGCAGGUCAGGCAGGGGUGCCUCUCACGCAAACACCUGCCAGGGAUAGGGUCCCAUGGGGAGCUCUGGAGUAAAAGUUGUGCCAAAGGAAUGGAUCAGCUUUCAUACCUGUACACCCUCUUUACAGGUUAAAAAGUAGGAGGAAUUGGACUUCCAGUAACAGUCCUCCAAAAAAAAAAAAAAAAAAAAAAA